AAGAGCCCCUGAAUGUCCCCUGGGGGAGGAGAGAGUACAAAGAGACAUGGGUAAUGGAAAAUAGAAUGGAAGAAAUACCAGUCAGGGACAAACAGCAUCUGGAGCUGAAAAGGAAGCCAGAGCGAGAUAGAGGCUUGGAGGGACCAGGGCAGAGAAUAAGCAAAGGGCUAAGAUGGAAGAUGCUCUGUGUACACACACACACACACACACACACACACACACACACACACACACACACACGGAGGCAGCCGCAAGGGCUGGGAUUCCCUUGGGGUGGUUCCUGAAUGGAUGCCCCUCCACAGCCCAAACUUGAGGCUUCUAGUCACUAAGGAUACAGAGUCACCAAGCUGUGACUCCUCUCUGGCUGUGAAGGGAUCAGGAGACCUCCGGGUCACCAGUGUAAGGGCUGCAGAAGACAGCACCAGAGUGGGUUCCAGCUGUCACCCCUGGACAGAUCAAGCGAGGCACCUCCUCACAUCCUGGUUAGACCAGGAGCUCCAUCUUAGGACCAGAGCAGGACAAAGCAUCAAGGCAAGAAGAGCGCCUUGGGUGGAGGGCAGAGGAAGCCCCCAAAAAGAGUCAGAGCCCUCGGCUUCCCAGGGGACCCAGUGGAAAGACUCAGCCCUCCCGCAGGGCUGCCGUCCUGAGUGGCCUGGUGACCAAAGCUGCCCUUCCUUGUACAGGCCGCUGGGGGCUGGGGGCCCUUUCUACAUCCUCUGCAGUUCCGUGCAGCUCUGGCUCGCAGCGAAACCUCCCACCCUGCUGUGAGGAGUUGCUAAGAAAAGCAGUUGAAAGCCCUUCACAGAGAGAAAAGGCUUUUAGAUAGAAAUGCGGGGGCAAACUAUCUGAGGGCGAGGGGUGGCAGCCAGCGGACGCGGGAUUGGAGCCUGGCUGCCUCUGACGCAAGCGGGAGCGAGGACGGGGGUGUUUUCAGCAGGACGGGAGGAGCUUUUAGGGAUGUGGGGAUUUCUGGGAAAUAGGUUUCCUUUACCCCGCAGCCCUGGCAUGGGCCGGAAGCAGCCCUGGCAGCUGCUUUAGGUAGACUAAGAGAUGGCAGGUCUCUGUCGGUAGGGGGAGGGGAGAGAAGACGAUCUUGGGUCUGUAUCUGGACCUGAGAACCCCCAGAUUACUUGAGGAAUCCUAAACACUCCAGGGUGGGGCUCAAGAGACCUGUUAUGGCUCAGUGGUUAACGAAUCUGACUAGGAACCAUGAGGUUUCGGGUUCGAUCUCAGUCCUCGCUCAGUGGGCUAAGGAUCCAGUGUUGCCAUGAGCUGUGGUGUAGGUUGCAGACACGGCCCAGAUCCCACACUGCUGUGGCUCUGGUGUAGGCCGGCAGCUACAGCUCCGAUUAGACCCCUAGCUCAGGAACCUCCAUAUGCUGCAGGAGCAGCCCAAGAAAUGGCAAAAAGACAAAAAAAAUAGAGAGAGAGAGACCACUGGAAGGUGGCCUCUAGCCUGAGAGAAGCCAGGGGUACAAGGGACACUGGGUUCGGUCUGAAAGGACCAGUCUGAAGAGGCAGAACUUGAACCUCUGGAGGUCAGCCCAGUGAUCCCCCCAAGCCAGAUCAGCUAAGGGUCUCUUUCAAAAUCAUUUCUUAAGCCCUCCCUGGAGAUCCUGAUACAGAGAUUCUGGGGCCUGAGAUUCUCAACUUUAAAAACCUCCCCCAGGUAAUUUUGAUAGUCAAGUAGGUUUGGAAACCACUGGUUUCACCUGUGGAGAAGCUGGAAGAGAGAGGGAAAGGGUAAAAUGUGAGCUGAGUCAUUGGGAUGUGACCCCUCUGCUGGGGUCUGGGUAGCUCCAGAAAGACCUUGAAGGAGGACCUGCCCCUGUCUCUGGAGCUCAGGCACUGUAUGGGCUGGAACUGGCACUGUAUGGCCCAGGCACUGUAUGGGCUGGAAAUACGGGAUCUGGUCCUUCCUUUGACAAAAGUGUGAUUCAGUACAGGGCCAGGCAGUAAAUAGCUCCAGAUUUGCAGGUCACACCAUCUAUGCCACUCUGCCCUUGCCACCUCAGACCCAGAGCUGCCAUAGGCAGUACGGAAACCAAUGAGGGUGCCUGGGUCCCAGUAAAACUUUAUUUAUAGACACUGAACUUUAAAUUACAUAUCAUUUCUGUCACAAAUAUUAUUUUGCUUUUUCCCAACCAUUUAAAACUGUAAAAAACCAUUCUUAGCUCACGGCCAUAUAAAAAAAACCACACAGCAGGCCGGAUGUGGCCCAUCCGCCAUGUGUGCCAACCCAGCACGUGGGAAAGCAGCUCAUGGCGGGCACUGGGAAUUAAUGCAGGCACCGGGCAAAGAGGCACAUGCAUUGUGCUGAGACAGUGCGAUCACCUGCAGGCACUCUUCAGGGUCAGAGAAAACCUGGGUUCAAAUUCUGGCUCUGCCUCUUCCUAGCUGGGUAAAUCACUUUCACCUCUGACCCUGUUUCCUCUAUGGAAAGUGGGAACAGUUAUACCUGCACCAGAGGGAGGCUGGGAAGAUGAAAGAAGAUUAAGAGAUGUAAACUUCCUGACUUAUGGGGAGGAGGGGAGACCCAAGUCAAAUCUUCUGCCCUCUAUAGCUGGACCUCCUUGGGAAUUGGAGGCGGCCUCUGAGUGAUGGAUGGAUGGAGACCUGGAGGUGGCAGAGUACAAUAAAGGCUAAGAACGGGACUGAGCCUGCGCGCGUGUCCCAGACUGCAGUUCUCCCUCUGCCCUCUCCACCCCCACAGAGUGGCUGGGGUACCAGCUGGCAGGGGAGGGUGCCCCCUGCUGUGGGCUUGGGACUGUGGGUACAAAGCUCCUCGAGGGAGGGGCACCUGAUCCAACUCUCCCUGCUGCUAUUUACCAGAAGCUAAAAAUAACCCAAGAGUGACAGGGAGAUGGGGCCGAUUUGUAAUUUAAAUAGCAACAGGAUAAAGCAAGGAGCUGCAAGAGAUCACAUUCUGUCCUGAAUUAAAAAUGCAAAAACCGGGGGCAGAGAGCUGAGCUGGAGCUGGAGGAGGGGGCCCGCUGCCAGAGGAAGCCGGAAGCCGGGGGGCUAUCAUUUUCCUUCCUUUGGGAAGGGCGGGGGCCCUUCCUCCCCUCAGGGACCCAAGGUUCUUGCUGACUAGUGAGUCAAAGGCCACGGACGGCCAUGCCCAGAGGUGGGGCCAGGCUCGUGAAGGCAGCAGCUUAGAGAUUCCAGAAAGAGGGUCUUAUUUGACCUGAUUUGGGCCCUGGGUGCUUGGAACAGGCCCCCUCAGCAUCUCAUGUCCCCCACCUCCUGCCCCAGGGGCACAAGCCAUUUGGGCCUUUUGGGUUGCAGUGGGGGGCUGGGAUGGGUAGUUCCAGCAGAUGCACUGGGACAGGUUCUUCUCUGCUGUGCUGCUGAAAAGGUGGCUGGAAGCCUGGGCUGGAGUCUCAUGUUUGCUUCAGUUGGUGCAACUUCACAGCAGAGCAUUCAGCUCUGUAGCCCCUCAGAGAUCCAGAUCCCAAGGACAAGGGUUAGACAGGCUCGAAAAGGCUAUCUUCAAAGAUACACAAAGUGGGUAGGAAAGACACUGGGGCUAGACCUGGCCUCAGCUGGGCUCCACCGCGCUUGACCAGAGCUCUUGACCUAUAGAUGUUUGGGGAAGGAAGAAAGACUAAGCAGGAUUCAUAGAGGAGGGGGUGGAUUUAAGGGCCACCAGAUAGCAUCUUACAGAUGAUCAACUCAGCCUGGGAAAAGUUAAGCAAUUUGCUGAGAUCCCACAGCCAGUAACUGGUAGAGUUGGGUUCCAGACUCAGAUCGGUUUCAAUACAAAGCCCUUUGUCAGGCGUCCAAGGGCCUGGACUUUCAUCCCUUGGGAUCUUCUCUUUGGCUUUGUACCCCCUGCACAUAUCCCUGGGAGGGGGUAAUAGGGAGGGGGUUUGAGGACUGAAAGGUGGUUCUGCAAUCAGGGCUUAUGAUCCAGCAGAUGUGGAGGGGAGGCUGGAAAGACAGGAGACCUGCUGAUCUUUCCCUGGGAGCUCUACAGUCCAGGUGAGGGCAGAAGAAAGCUCCUCAGGGCAGAUCUAGCCGACCACAAGGAAGGGAAGAGCCCACCAGGGUCCUCUCGGCUCUAGCCUGGGCACCUGGGAGAUGCCAAAGGACAGGUUUCCAGGAGAGAUUGUGAUUUGAGAGACCCCUGACUGCGAAGCUGCCAGUGCUACACCCCCCAGCUCUCUUGCUCCCGUGGGAAAGGGUCCCCAGCCCAUCCUCCGGAUUUCCUCCUGCACAUGACCCAGAAGGAGCUUAAUCCAAUGUCCAUCUGUCACUAGACAGCAGCACCUGCGGCCCAGCUCAGGUACAUCUGUCUCCUCUGUGGGGGCAGAGGCCCAGCACCUGAGCAGAGGCCAAGAUUGGCAAGCGCUUUCAGGCUCUAGGUUGCUCCCUGGACCACAGAUACCUGGACCACAGGCUUCACUGCUGGAAAGGUGCAUGGGCUCCCCAAAGCUCUCCCCCGCCCCAUGUCUCACCACAGCCCCUCAAGCAAACAGGAAGCCAGUCUGCCUCCCUUGGCUCAGCUUGCUGGACACCUGUAUUCAGCUCACUUCAACUUCCAUAGGAAGUUACUGAAUACAUACCGUGGACCCAACAGGGAGCUAGGAGCAACACUGGGUUCAAGAGUCUUGUAAGGAGACAAGACUAAUAUGCAUAAAAGGUCACACAAUAGAGGAAUAUUUGGGGGGAACAAAGGUGAGUAUCAGAUACAUCAGAGGGUGAGGAGUGUUGAAGCAGCAUUUGACACUUAGUAGGUAUUUAUAAAAUAUUUGUCAAACAAAUGAAUGAAUGAGUGAAAACUAGGAGAUCAGGGAAGGAGAUUCAAAUGAAACUGUCAGAGCUAGACAAGCUCUUUGAAAUCAUCGGAUCCAACCUAGAGAUGUUAAGUGACUUUCCUGACGUCACACAGCAAGGGCUGGGGUUUGGGCCCACUCUUUCCACCUUCCCACUUUUGCGUUUUGGGGUUGGGUUUUGAAGGAUGGAGAGUUUGAUUGGCCAAGUUUUCAGGGCAGACAGGGCAAGGCGAGCAGCACAAGCAGAAUAGAAUGUCAGGGCUAAGGGCGGCGUGUUACAAGAAGUGGAAAGAAAUGUUUGUUGAGUACUUACUGUGGGGCAGUCAUCAGUGUGGUAGGAGCUCAGAGAAAAUCUCUGCAGGGAAAGCUUGGAGGAAGAGGCAAAAAAGAAAAGAACCGGAGCAGAAGGAGCCUUGAAGGUCAGGCCAAGGAGGCUGGCUUGGCUGGUUUUGAGAGCAGAGGCUGUCCAGAUCGUGGGCUAAGCGUUUGGUGUCCUGGUACAUUUCUUUUCCCCAGCUCCCACUUGCUCAUCCAGGCCACGGAAAGUAGAACACCUCACCCUCUGGGGCCGCAACAAAGCCCAGAAUAAUUUUCUUACCCAGAUUCCUCUUCCUGUAUGUAUCUGGGUGGAUUCUGAGGGGUCCCCAGCUCCCCGGGGCUGGCACACGUUGUCCUAGGAACUGCCAAGGGCAUCCUCCCCAGCCUUGUGCACUUGUCCUUUCCAGGCUUGUCCUCCCCACCCCACCUGCAAAGUACUGACAGCUUCAGUGAGUACAAGCUCCCAGGGAACGUGGUCCCACAGCCAGGACUGCUCUGCCUCCCAGAGCCUCCAGCCUGCUCGGCUUCCCCUCCAGGAGCCACAUUUCCUGCUCUCUGCUGCUCCAGGGCUGCCAGAAGCCUCAGAUUGAAAACAAGCCCAGCCCCAUUUCCUCUGUUUAACUGUUCAAGCUACUUGCAGAAUCCCUGGGAGAGGAGGACAGGGCCCUGCAAGCAGCUUCCUUCCAAAACAGGACCUGCCUUGAGGCAGGAUGAUGAGCUGGAGGGAGAGCCACUGAGAAAGGGGGUGCCAAGCCUCAGUGGCAUCAUCUGGCUAUGUCCCCAAUCCUGGAGGGGCAAUAGGAUGUCUUAUCUAAGGGCACAGACUCUGAGGUGAAAUUCUCACUUCUUUCACUUACAGGCUGGGUAACCUCGCACAGAUGAGCUUAGCCACCCCGUGCCUCUGUUUCCCCAUCUGUAAGAGGAGGCAAAUAACAAGAUCUACCUCAUAGGGUUGUCACCAGGAUUCAAAGUUUUCUGGUGGAGAAGUGUCCAAGAAAUAUUAGCUAUUUUUUUAUUAUUACCAAAAUAAAAGUAUUUUCAUGACAUGGCAUGAUUUAUUAAGCAAACAUUUCUUAAGAAAUACUGUGUUCCAGUCAUGAGGGGCACAAAGGUGAUUAGAGCACCAGAUGGAGGUUUCUAAGGGCUGGGAUGGCAUCGUGUGUAAUCCAGGGUCUGCCAGUUCUGUAGCGUAAAUGUUUAUUGGACUGAACUGAACUGACACUCUUUCCGUCCUCGAGAACUUUACAGCCUUCCUGGGGAAACAAAGAGAUGUAGAGCUAAAGAACUAUAGAGGAGUGUGAUUAAAGAGUGCUUAAGGAAGGUACGAUUUCCAUCCUAGAAUCAGCCCUAAUAAGAAAGAGUAAGUGGGGAGUUCCCGCUGUGGCAUAGUGGUCAAGAAUCCAGUGGCAGUGGCUCAGGUCGCUGCAGAGGCGCCACUUCAACCCCCCGCCCAGUGCAGUGGGUUAAAGGAUCUGGCGUUGCACUUGGGCUCAGAUUUAAUCCCUGCCCUGGGAACUUCCAUAUGAUGAAUGUGUGGCCA
ensembl:lncRNA